GUUUCCUUCAACCAAAAAAAAUAAAAUGAAUAGACUUUAGCCCCUAAACAGCAUCAUUAUUCCUUAGUUCUGCUUAACUUAUGUUUCCAAUGCAUUUGCACAAUACCCAACCGAUGCCAACUUCUGUUGCAAUCCAAAGGAAUAUGAAGCACCACACCACACCUUAAGAAUCACCACACCUUCAUCUAUUCACCUUAUAAAGCAAUGGCAAAUGAAUCAGAAGCACCACACCACACCUUCAGAAUGGAGAACAAUGGCAAACGAAAACGAAAAGAAGAUGAGAAUGGUUCUAUAUCCAUUACAUCUCCACUGUCUACUAAAAAAGAAGUUAGAGAAGAUUUGGACACUGAAGAUAAGGAAAUUCCCUUUGUAAAUUUGAUCUCAGAAAGGUGGAUGAAGGAUCAAGACUGAAAAUUGCUCUACAACUGACACUUCAUCCUUUCAACAAAAAUAGAGAUUUGAUGCUAACAAAAUCUUUGGAACACAAGCAAGCUUUUGUGAAAGAAAAUGAUCCGGAGGAGAAGAAUUGAAACUAUUUGUAAUUCAUGCCGAUUCUAUAAUGAUGUUAUUCCUUAGUUCGUAAACGCUUUUUUUGGUGGAUUUUAGUUGGAGAUUCUGUAAUGAUGUUAUUUCUUAGUUCGUAAACGUUUUUUGAUGGAUUUUA